ACCAGUGUGGCACAGUGUUUUGACUGUUGGACUGCAACUCUGGAGACCAGGGUUCGAUUCCCAGCUCGGUCA